AUUGAACGCUGGCGGCAGGCCUAACACAUGCAAGUCGAGCGGAUGAAGAGAGCUUGCUCUCUGAUUCAGCGGCGGACGGGUGAGUAAUGCCUAGGAAUCUGCCUGGUAGUGGGGGACAACGUUUCGAAAGGAACGCUAAUACCGCAUACGUCCUACGGGAGAACGUGGGGGAUCUUCGGACCUCACGCUAUCAGAUGAGCCUAGGUACGAUUAGCUAGUUGGUGAGGUAAAGGCUCACCAAGGCGACGAUCGUUAACUGGUCUGAGAGGAUGAUCAGUCACACUGGAACUGAGACACGGUCCAGACUCCUACGGGAGGCAGCAGUGGGGAAUAUUGGACAAUGGGCGAAAGCCUGAUCCAGCCAUGCCGCGUGUGUGAAGAAGGUCUUCGGAUUGUAAAGCACUUUAAGUUGGGAGGAAGGGCAGUAAGUUAAUACCUUGCUGUUUUGACGUUACCAACAGAAUAAGCACCGGCUAACUUCGUGCCAGCCGCCGCCGUAAAAC
rnacentral:rRNA from 1 species